UAGGGAAGAUGAGAAAUGGACGAAAGUCUGAUAUAGAAACACCGCGUGUGCGAAGAAGGCCUUCGGGUUGUAGAGCACUUUUUGGAAGGAUUAGGAAGGAAUGUACUUCCAGAAUAAGUCUCGGCUAACUACGUGCCAGCAGCCGCGGUAACACGUAGGAGGCAAACGUUAUCCGGAUUUACUGGGCGUAAAGCGCGUGUAGGUGGUUCUGUAAGUAGGGCGUGAAAGCUCCUGGCUCAACUGGGAGAGGCCGUUCUAAACUGCAGAGCUAGAGGAUGGUAGAGGGAGGUGGAAUUCCGGGUGUAGCGGUGGAAUGCGCAGAUAUCCGGAGGAACACCAGUGGCGAAAGCGGCCUCCUGGACCAUUCCUGACACUCAGACGCGAAAGCUAGGGUAGCAAACG
rnacentral:rRNA from 1 species